rnacentral:rRNA from 1 species
GAUGAACGCUAGCGGCAGGCCUAAUACAUGCAAGUCGGACGGGAUUGAGGAGCUUGCUCCUCAUGAGAGUGGCGCACGGGUGCGUAACACGUAUGUAACCUACCUUUACCAGGGGGAUAGCCUCUCGAAAGAGAGAUUAAGACCGCAUAAUAUGGAGACACAGCAUUGUGAUUUCAUCAAAUAUUUAUAGGGUAAAGAUGGGCAUGCGGAACAUUAGCUAGUUGGUAAGGUAAUGGCUUACCAAGGCUACGAUGUUUAGGGGGAUCUGAGAGGAUCGACCCCCACC